ACGUCCCUACGGGGGGCAGCAGUGGGGGAUAUUGCACAAUGAGGGGAACCCUGAUGCAGCGACGCCGCGUGGGUGAAGGAGCGUUUCGGCGCGUAAAGCCCUAUCGGCAGGGAAGAAGAUGACGGUACCUGACCAAGAAGCCCCGGCUAACUACGUGCCAGCAGCCGCGGUAAUACGUAGGGGGCAAGCGUUAUCCGGAUUUACUGGGUGUAAAGGGGGCGCAGACGGCAAUGCAAGCCAGGAGUGAAAGCCCGGGGCCCAACCCCGGGCCUGCUCUUUGGACUGCAUGGCUG
rnacentral:rRNA from 1 species